UGGGGAAUAUUGCACAAUGGGCGCAAGCCUGAUGCAGCCAUGCCGCGUGUAUGAAGAAGGCCUUCGGGUUGUAAAGUACUUUCAGCGGGGAGGAAGGGAGUAAAGUUAAUACCUUUGCUUAUUGACGUUACCCGCAGAAGAAGCACCGGCUAACUCCGUGCCAGCAGCCGCGGUAAUACGGAGGGUGCAAGCGUUAAUCGGAAUUACUGGGCGUAAAGCGCACGCAGGCGGUUUGUUAAGUCAGAUGUGAAAUCCCCGGGCUCAACCUGGGAACUGCAUCUGAUACUGGCAAGCUUGAGUCUCGUAGAGGGGGGUAGAAUUCCAGGUGUAGCGGUGAAAGGCGUAGAGAUCUGGAGGAAUACCGGUGGCGAAGGCGGCCCCCUGGACGAAGACUGACGCUCAGGUGCGAAAGCGUGGGGAGCAAACAGG
rnacentral:rRNA from 1 species